rnacentral:rRNA from 1 species
UAGGGAAUCUUCCGCAAUGGACGAAAGUCUGACGGAGCAACGCCGCGUGAGUGAUGAAGGCUUUCGGGUCGUAAAACUCUGUUGUUAGGGAAGAACAAGUGCUAGUUGAAUAAGCUGGCACCUUGACGGUACCUAACCAGAAAGCCACGGCUAACUACGUGCCAGCAGCCGCGGUAAUACGUAGGUGGCAAGCGUUAUCCGGAAUUAUUGGGCGUAAAGCGCGCGCAGGUGGUUUCUUAAGUCUGAUGUGAAAGCCCACGGCUCAACCGUGGAGGGUCAUUGGAAACUGGGAGACUUGAGUGCAGAAGAGGAAAGUGGAAUUCCAUGUGUAGCGGUGAAAUGCGUAGAGAUGUGGAGGAACACCAGUGGCGAAGGCGACUUUCUGGUCUGUAACUGACACUGAGGCGCGAAAGCGUGGGGAGCAAACAGGAUUAGAUACCCUGGUAGUCCACGCCGUAAACGAUGAGUGCUAAGUGUUAGAGGGUUUCCGCCCUUUAGUGCUGAAGUUAACGCAUUAAGCACUCCGCCUGGGGAGUACGGCCGCAAGGCUGAAACUCAAAGGAAUGGACGG